rnacentral:rRNA from 1 species
AACGCGAAGAACCUUACCAAGGCUUGACAUACACCGGAAAGCGCCAGAGAUGGUGCCCCCCUUGUGGGUGUACAGGUGGUGCAUGGCUGUCGUCAGCUCCUGUCGUGAGAUGUUAGGGUUAAGUCCCGCAACGAGCGCAACCCCUGUUCCCGUGUUGCCAGCAGGCCCUUGGUGGUGCUGGGGACUCACGGGAGACCGCCGGGGUCAACUCGGAGGAAGGUGGGGACGACGUCAAGUCAUCAUGCCCCUUAUGUCUUGGGCUGCACACGUGCUACAAUGGUCGGUACAAUGAGCUGCGAUACCGCAAGGUGGAGCGAAUCUCAAAAAGCCGGUCUCAGUUCGGAUUGGGGUCUGCAACUCGACCCCAUGAAGUCGGAGUUGCUAGUAAUCGCAGAUCAGCAUUGCUGCGGUGAAUACGUUCCCGGGCCUUGUACACACCG